GUCAGAGAAAACCUGGGGUCCUGAUGAUGUUGUUGAGCUGCUGAAUCAACCAUCCCUAAACCCUGUCUCCCAAGACUUCCUGUCGUCAUUGUUGGUAAAAGCAACAUUGGAAAAGCCCAGUCACUUAAGUGGACAAAUGGUGAAAUGGUCUAGGGGACUUCCAAACAAUGGGAUGCAAUUCAACCAUUAAACAGAAUAAGCUGGUCACCAGGAAACUGAUGUGCAGUUUCUGUAAUUGACGCAGCAUUUGGGCCAGGAGUAGUACCGACCAAGAACUACAGUCCUGGAUAGGAGCCAUUUUCAAAAGAAGAUGAAUGGUCUUUAACUUUGUUCAAAGCCGCAGCCUGUGGGAGCCUGUCUACUCGGUCCACAGAAAGAAGGAUGGAAAAAAGCAAAUGAGUCUCUUCCAGAAUUUGUCCAACCAAAGAACAGAUGAACUUGUGUGAUGGGGCCUGCGGCUGCACAGCCGGUCUAUAUAGCAGGAUGGCUGCUGCGUUGGCAAGAACAACACAAAAGGGGCCCUCAGCGGUCUCAGCUCAAGCAUCAGUUUCUCUGUAAAAGAUUAUCCUGCACCCUGCCUAAUCUUCUAGGCUGAAUUAAAUACUGCCUCCAUGGCUCCUCAUGUUCAUACCACUAUAAUGAGUGAACUCCAGCUUUUUAAGAUCCUUCCCCAAAUCGCACAACUGAAGUGCAAAUCAGACAGAGGCCUCAGCCAGCACUGCCCCAGCAUGGCCUUGGCUGGCCAGGGCUUUCAGAUGGAGAAAUGAUCCUCCAUGGCAGACAUCCAUGUGCCACAAGC